rnacentral:rRNA from 1 species
AACGAACGCUGGCGGCAGGCUUAACACAUGCAAGUCGAGCGCCCCGCAAGGGGAGCGGCAGACGGGUGAGUAACGCGUGGGAACCUACCCUUUUCUACGGAAUAACGCAUGGAAACGUGUGCUAAUACCGUAUACGCCCUACGGGGAAAGAUUUAUCGGAGAAGGCAGGGCCCGCGUUGGAUUAGCUAGUUGGUGGGGUAAAGGCCUACCAAGGCGACGAUCCAUAGCUGGUCUGAGAGGAUGAUCAGCCACAUUGGGACUGAGACACGGCCCAAACUCCUACGGGAGGCAGCAGUGGGGAAUAUUGGGCAAUGGGCGCAAGCCUGAUCCAGCCAUGCCGCGUGAGUGAUGAAGGCCCUAGGGUUGUAAAGCUCUUUCACCGGAGAAGAUAAUGACGGUAUCCGGAGAAGAAGCCCCGGCUAACUUCGUGCCAGCCGCCGCAGUAAGAC